rnacentral:rRNA from 1 species
UCAGGACGAACGCUGGCGGCGUGCUUAACACAUGCANGUCGAACGAUGAAGCCUAGCUUGCUGGGUGGAUUAGUGGCGAACGGGUGAGUAACACGUGAGUAACCUGCCCUUGACUCUGGGAUAAGCGCUGGAAACGGCGUCUAAUACCGGAUACGACCUGCCCCGGCAUCGGGUGUGGGUGGAAAGUUUUUCGGUCAAGGAUGGACUCGCGGCCUAUCAGCUUGUUGGUGAGGUAAUGGCUCACCAAGGCGACGACGGGUAGCCGGCCUGAGAGGGUGACCGGCCACACUGGGACUGAGACACGGCCCAGACUCCUACGGGAGGCAGCAGUGGGGAAUAUUGCACAAUGGGCGAAAGCCUGAUGCAGCAACGCCGCGUGGGGGAUGACGGCCUUCGGGUUGUAAACCUCUUUUAGUAGGGAAGAAGGGCUUCGGCUUGACGGUACCUGCAGAAAAAGCACCGGCUAACUACGUGCCAGCAGCCGCGGUAAUACGUAGGGUGCAAGCGUUGUCCGGAAUUAUUGGGCGUAAAGAGCUCGUAGGCGGUUUGUCGCGUCUGCUGUGAAAACCCGAGGCUCAACCUCGGGCCUGCAGUGGGUACGGGCAGACUAGAGUGCGGUAGGGGAGAAUGGAAUUCCUGGUGUAGCGGUGGAAUGCGCAGAUAUCAGGAGGAACACCGAUGGCGAAGGCAGUUCUCUGGGCCGUUACUGACGCUGAGGAGCGAAAGCGUGGGGAGCGAACAGGAUUAGAUACCCUGGUAGUCCACGCCGUAAACGUUGGGAACUAGAUGUGGGGACCUUUCCACGGUCUCCGUGUCGCAGCUAACGCAUUAAGUUCCCCGCCUGGGGAGUACGGCCGCAAGGCUAAAACUCAAAGGAAUUGACGGGGGCCCGCACAAGCGGCGGAGCAUGCGGAUUAAUUCGAUGCAACGCGAAGAACCUUACCAAGGCUUGACAUAUACCGGAAACUUCCAGAGAUGGUUGCCCCGCAAGGUCGGUAUACAGGUGGUGCAUGGUUGUCGUCAGCUCGUGUCGUGAGAUGUUGGGUUAAGUCCCGCAACGAGCGCAACCCUCGUUCUAUGUUGCCAGCACGUUAUGGUGGGAACUCAUAGGAGACUGCCGGGGUCAACUCGGAGGAAGGUGGGGAUGACGUCAAAUCAUCAUGCCCCUUAUGUCUUGGGCUUCACGCAUGCUACAAUGGCCGGUACAAAGGGCUGCGAUACCGUAAGGUGGAGCGAAUCCCAAAAAGCCGGUCUCAGUUCGGAUUGAGGUCUGCAACUCGACCUCAUGAAGUCGGAGUCGCUAGUAAUCGCAGAUCAGCAACGCUGCGGUGAAUACGUUCCCGGGCCUUGUACACACCGCCCGUCAAGUCAUGAAAGUCGGUAACACCCGAAGCCAGUGGCCUAACCGUAAGGA